UUCCGGUUGAUCCUGCCGGACCCGACUGCUAUCAGAGUGGGACUAAGCCAUGCGAGUCAACGCAGCAAUGCGUGGCAUACGGCUCAGUAACACGUAGUCAACAUGCCCAGGGGACGUGGAUAACCUCGGGAAACUGAGGAUAAACCGCGAUAGGCCAAGAUUUCUGGAAUGGAUCAUGGCUGAAACCUACAUGGCCCCUGGAUUGGACUGCGGCCGAUCAGGCUGUUGGUGAGGUAGUGGCCCACCAAACCUGUAACCGGUACGGGCUCUGAGAGGAGGAGCCCGGAGAUGGGCACUGAGACAAGGGCCCAGGCCCUAUGGGGCGCAGCAGGCGCGAAACCUCUGCAAUAGGCGAAAGCUUGACAGGGUUACUCUGAGUGAUGCCCGUUAAGGGCAUCUUUUGGCACUUCUAAAAAUAGUGUAGAAUAAGGGGUGGGCAAGUCUGGUGUCAGCCGCCGCGGUA
rnacentral:rRNA from 1 species